rnacentral:rRNA from 1 species
GGUGUAGGUGGCUUUGUAAGUCAGGUGUGAAAGCCCAGGGCUCAACCCUGGAAGUGCAUUUGAUACUGCGAAGCUUGAGUGCUGGAGAGGCUACUAGAAUUCCUGGUGUAGUGGUGAAAUACGUAGAUAUCAGGAGGAAUACCGGUGGCGAAGGCGGGUAGCUGGCCAGACACUGACACUCAGACCCGAAAGUGUGGGGAUCAAACA